AUUGAACGCUGGCGGAAUGCUUUACACAUGCAAGUCGAACGGCAGCACGGGUGCUUGCACCUGGUGGCGAGUGGCGAACGGGUGAGUAAUACAUCGGAACGUACCCAGUUGUGGGGGAUAACGAGUCGAAAGAUUCGCUAAUACCGCAUACGACCUGAGGGUGAAAGCGGGGGACCGUAAGGCCUCGCGCAAUUGGAGCGGCCGAUGUCUGAUUAGCUAGUUGGUGAGGUAAAGGCUCACCAAGGCGACGAUCAGUAGCUGGUCUGAGCGGAUGAUCAGCCACACUGGAACUGAGACACGGUCCAGACUCCUACGGGAGGCAGCAGUGGGGAAUUUUGGACAAUGGGGGAAACCCUGAUCCAGCCAUUCCGCGGGAGUGAAGAAGGCCUUCGGGUUGUAAAGCUCUUUCGGCAGGGAAGAAACGCUCUGGCUUAAUACGCCGGGGUAAUGACGGUACCUGAAGAAGAAGCACCGGCUAACUACGUGCCAGCAGCCGCAGUAA
rnacentral:rRNA from 1 species